rnacentral:rRNA from 1 species
CGGUUAAGUUAGAAAGGGCGCACGGUGGAUGCCUUGGCACUAGGAGCCGAUGAAGGACGGGACGAACACCGAUAUGCUUCGGGGAGCUGUAAGCAAGCUUUGAUCCGGAGAUUUCCGAAUGGGGAAACCCACCACUCGUAAUGGAGUGGUAUCCAUAUCUGAAUACAUAGGAUAUGAGAAGGCAGACCCGGGGAACUGAAACAUCUAAGUACCCGGAGGAAGAGAAAGCAAAUGCGAUUCCCUGAGUAGCGGCGAGCGAAACGGGACCAGCCCAAACCAAGAGGCUUGCCUCUUGGGGUUGUAGGACACUCUGUACGGAGUUACAAAGGAACGAGGUAGAUGAAGAGGUCUGGAAAGGCCCGCCAUAGGAGGUAACAGCCCUGUAGUCAAAACUUCGUUCUCUCCUGAGUGGAUCCUGAGUACGGCGGAACACGUGAAAUUCCGUCGGAAUCCGGGAGGACCAUCUCCCAAGGCUAAAUACUCCCUAGUGACCGAUAGUGAACCAGUACCGUGAGGGAAAGGUGAAAAGCACCCCGGAAGGGGAGUGAAAGAGAUCCUGAAACCGUGUGCCUACAAGUAGUCAGAGCCCGUUAACGGGUGAUGGCGUGCCUUUUGUAGAAUGAACCGGCGAGUUACGAUCCCGUGCAAGGUUAAGCAGAAGAUGCGGAGCCGCAGCGAAAGCGAGUCUGAAUAGGGCGAAUUGAGUACGUGGUCGUAGACCCGAAACCAGGUGAUCUACCCAUGUCCAGGGUGAAGUUCAGGUAACACUGAAUGGAGGCCCGAACCCACGCACGUUGAAAAGUGCGGGGAUGAGGUGUGGGUAGGGGUGAAAUGCCAAUCGAACCUGGAGAUAGCUGGUUCUCUCCGAAAUAGCUUUAGGGCUAGCCUCAAGGUAAGAGUCUCGGAGGUAGAGCACUGAUUGGACUAGGGGCCCCUACCGGGUUACCGAAUUCAGUCAAACUCCGAAUGCCGAUGACUUAUCCUUGGGAGUCAGACUGCGAGUGAUAAGAUCCGUAGUCGAAAGGGAAACAGCCCAGACCGCCAGCUAAGGUCCCAAAGUAUACGUUAAGUGGAAAAGGAUGUGGAGUUGCUUAGACAACCAGGAUGUUGGCUUAGAAGCAGCCACCAUUUAAAGAGUGCGUAAUAGCUCACUGGUCGAGUGACUCUGCGCCGAAAAUGUACCGGGGCUAAACGUAUCACCGAAGCUGCGGACUGUUCUUCGAACAGUGGUAGGAGAGCGUUCUAAGGGCUGUGAAGCAAGACCGGAAGGACUUGUGGAGCGCUUAGAAGUGAGAAUGCCGGUAUGAGUAGCGAAAGAGGGGUGAGAAUCCCCUCCACCGAAUGCCUAAGGUUUCCUGAGGAAGGCUCGUCCGCUCAGGGUUAGUCGGGACCUAAGCCGAGGCCGAAAGGCGUAGGCGAUGGAUAACAGGUUGAUAUUCCUGUACCACCUCCUCACCAUUUGAGCAAUGGGGGGACGCAGGAGGAUAGGGUAAGCGCGGUAUUGGAUAUCCGCGUCCAAGCAGUUAGGCUGGGAAAUAGGCAAAUCCGUUUCCCGUGAAGGCUGAGCUGUGAUGGCGAGCGAAUUAUAGUAGCGAAGUUCCUGAUUCCACACUGCCAAGAAAAGCCUCUAGCGAGGUGAGAGGUGCCCGUACCGCAAACCGACACAGGUAGGCGAGGAGAGAAUCCUAAGGUGAUCGAGAGAACUCUCGUUAAGGAACUCGGCAAAAUGACCCCGUAACUUCGGGAGAAGGGGUGCUCUGUUAGGGUGCAAGCCCGAGAGAGCCGCAGUGAAUAGGCCCAGGCGACUGUUUAGCAAAAACACAGGUCUCUGCGAAGCCGUAAGGCGAAGUAUAGGGGCUGACG